CUUUUUCUUUCAAAAAUAUGUUUCCAACAAGACCUCAUGACAGUGUAAAUUAGCAAAUUUCUGCUGCAUAGAGAUUGUUUCACCUAAACCAAAACGCAGCUAUUUGUUCUUUUGCCAGCCCUCUGCAGGAUGACAGUACCUGUUUGUCCAUGUCUAGCAUGCCUUUCUGUGCUUUAAACAAAAAGCCUUAAAGGGAAGAGGUGACUACUCAAGGAAAGUUGCUGCAAUAGGCGCAUCAGUGAGGAGGAGCACUGAACCUUCAACCUUUAGCUGUAUCUUGUAUGUCUGCGAUGUUCCAGUGCAGCAGAAGGGAUGUGAUGACCUACCAUGCCAGUCUACAGCACCUCUCCAGUCUCCUGUGGCACUUCAACCUACAGGACAAGAGUGACAAUCUAAUGGCUUGUUCUUUCUAGUUUUUGCACAUGGGUCUGUGCAGUAUGCAUCAGUGCUCCCACCACCACCACCCCACCAAAACAAGAACUUCCGAACACUUUAGGAGAUGCAACAGCUCUUCACAACAGAGGCAGGCACAGCCACUGAGGUCACAGUGUACGGAAGAGACCAUAUGGAACAGACUCUUCCAUUCCCCCAUCAUUAGUGCCAGGGGCCUACAGGGGCUUUUAGUCCUGGUCUUCAUGCAGGACCAGGUGAAUAAGGAGGGACCUGUCCUAUCUUCUGCAGCACCAACAAUAUUGUCAGAAGAAGCAGAAGCAGUUGUGGUCCUCCUUGAAGUUACCUAUAGCAGCCUGAUCACACUUUGUGCCCCUUACCAGUGUUCCUCAAAGUGCUCUGCAACCACUGAUAAAGUGUGGCCACAUCUGCUCUGAAGCCAUUUGCCAGUGUAGUGAUGGGGAGAAAGGUUUGGGGUCACUUCUAUAGUGCCAGAGUUUUGAGGCCCAGAUGCUCAGAAGUAUAAGUGACUAAGCAAAAGCUAGAAAUUAAAAUGUCACAGGGCUCUGGGUCCUAAUGCAGACACAGUUAUACUGGUAUUCAAUGUUUUUGCUGAUAAAGCUGAUAGCGCUUGGAAAAGUUCUGCUGGAAAAAGAGCCCUAUUCUGCUGACAUAAGCUGCCUGCACACAAGGAAGGCUCCACUGGUACAACUCUGCUGCUACAGCAAUAUCACACACAUUUACAUGUAAAUUAGGCCUUUGUUUAUAUCGCACAGAUGCAGCCUUUCA
rnacentral:lncRNA from 1 species